rnacentral:misc_RNA from 1 species
UAGGCAACUUCAUUCUCGAAACAGUAAGCUUCGCUUCCUCUAGAAGCACAGCAGGCAAUGUAUGCCUAGGAAAGAUUGACAAAAACAAUUGACAAGCAAUUUUCCAUAGACACACCCUAAAAUGGUUUCAUUUUGUUGUUAAGAAAUCUAUCAUGGCAGUAAAACUGAACUUUACACAGUCUUGGCACAUAUAGAACAGACCAAUAAAUUACGCAUCUGAUUGUAAUGCAUAAACCUUUAAAACCAGUUUCAUAUAUUAAGUCAAAUACAACUCAAAACGUUAAAUUCAAUAAGUCCCAAAAACAGUUGCUAAAACUAAAAACAGGAGGCAAAAACAAAUGAAGCUUUCCCUAACAAGCAUCCUUCCAGCAACCCACUUCGCGCAGCACCAUAAGCUGAGCUGAAGGUAUCAGAAGAAAACCCCAUCUUGUUCAAUUCCAAGCACCUACUUGGAUCUCUGCCUCAUCUUUCGGCGCUUCCUCUUCAAUCUCCUCAUGCGCUUCUUCUUCCAUUUAGCCCUCAUCUUGGUUCAACCUCUCAGGAUCUACGCUUCUCACUCUAUUCUGCAAUUCCUCUCUAAUGGAGCAGAUUUUCAAUUGCAAGUUUAUAAGGAACCAAACAAGGGCUUCCCU